AACUGAGUGAAAUUUAUCUCUGUCCUCAGGGAGGUGAUGGCUCCAUUAAAGUGUCCAGAGAUAACUCAUCUCAAACCAAGGGCAUAGGAGCAGCCAUACUUAAGAUAAACUGUCCUUAAGCACAGCAUCACGAUAUGCUGGAUUACCCAAUCACUUGUAAGGAAAGACAGAGAUGAAGUUAUCCUGACUGCUGAGAUGAGCAGUUCACCCUAGGAGGACCUGUGGGACUAUGUUUUGGUCAAGAAAAGUUGAGCUGCUCUGUGGGAGUGAGGUUCCAAUGAAGCCAAAUGUACAAGACGGUCCUGAAUGGGAUUCAUUGGCCAGGCAACACAUGGCACAGAUGGCUGCAAACAUAACACUGCACAAUGCCCAAGAGCAUGGUGUAAUGGGCCAGGAACACAGUCUCACUAUUGUUUUCCAUGUAGAGGGUAUUAUCACAGGUAAGAAACAAAUAUCAAAGAGCUAAGAACCCCACGGAGUGAGAAAAAUGAUGACAGUGUGAAAGGUCGUGAGAGAUUCUCCUCAGAUCACUCAAAGGCUGCUGUUUGCAGAGCAUGGAACAAAGUGAUGUUGAGUUAGCUUCAAAGAUACUCUGGUCUUGAAAGCAAAUCAACUCACCAUCUACUGCAUUGAUGAAACAAGAGCGGAAAGAGCUUAUCUGCCUCUAGAAGUGAGCUACACUUCCCUCUUCUCUAAUUUUCUCUACCUUAAGAGAAAAGAAACUCUGUAGAUCUUAAUAAAAUGUUUUCUCAUUACAAUUGCUAAAACUUAACCUUCAAAAUUUAACUAUGUAGAACAAGAAAUAUAUAAAAUGAGGGUGGUUUAUGCCAUGGGCCUUCAUCCCAUUCUCCUGAU